rnacentral:rRNA from 1 species
GCCCUUAGAGUUUGAUCCUGGCUCAGGAUGAACGCUAGCUACAGGCUUAACACAUGCAAGUCGAGGGGCAGCAUGGUCUUAGCUUGCUAAGGCCGAUGGCGACCGGCGCACGGGUGAGUAACGCGUAUCCAACCUGCCUUACACUCUUGGACAGCCUUCUGAAAGGGAGAUUAAUACAAGAUGUUAUCAUGGGUAAGCAUUUUCGCAUGAUUAAAGGUUUACCGGUGUAAGAUGGGGAUGCGUUCCAUUAGAUAGUAGGCGGGGUAACGGCCCACCUAGUCUUCGAUGGAUAGGGGUUCUGAGAGGAAGGUCCCCCACAUUGGAACUGAGACACGGUCCAAACUCCUACGGGAGGCAGCAGUGAGGAAUAUUGGUCAAUGGACGAGAGUCUGAACCAGCCCAGUAGCGUGAAGGAUGAAGGUUCUAUGGAUUGUAAACUUCUUUUAUACGGGAAUAAACGAAUCCACGCGUGGAUUGAGCAGUACCGAGAUAA